AUUAGACUGUGAGCUCCUUGAGGGCAGG
rnacentral:miRNA from 1 species